UGGGACUUGUAGUCCGCGGGAGCCUACCGGCCGGCUCAGUACGCAUGCCUGGCCGUUGGGCGGAGUAAACGGUUUGGGGUUCACGAGCAUCUUUCCUCCUCCCGGCCAAGUAGAGGAGCAAGCGCGGGCGCUCCGGAAGCCUUUCUACACUGGAUGCUCUCAGAUGGAUACCAAGAAGCACAAUUAGUGCAGAACACAAGCUUGGGAGUCAAGGGAUUUACGUUCUAUUCUUGCUGUCCCUGGGUGAUGACAUCUUUUCCUGAGGUGGUUCACGCUUUCCGUACCAGGGUUCCUAGGACAGCUUUAAAAAAACACAAAAAGUAAAAUGUUAUGUGUGUGCAGUUGUACAUCCUAGGAAGGACGAUACUACUAGUGUGCCCGGUUAUUGGGUGAUUGGUUUACUGGGAUUUUUUAAACGGACUUUGCUCCUUUCUCUGCAGCUUCAUAAGUAAGUUUGUAGAUAUAUCCACAACGAAGGUUGUACCUUUAUUAAAAUGGAAAUGUUUGUGUUCCCAAGUGGUUUUUCUGGAUAUGUACCAUUGCAGGGAUUAUUAUUUGGGGAGGGGAGUGGGAAGGCUUAACCUUUCUCCCAUACAUCUCUAUUCUUGAUAUCAAACUUGAUGAGUUAAACUUAAGUUUGAUGCGUCUAAGUUUAGAACAAUAUUAGUGACUACUGAUGCCAAAGAGAAUUUAAAAGAGACUUUAAAUUAUAUUUUAUGUAACUUGUAAGUCAAGCUUUGCCAGCAUCCAUGGUACAUUAAGUUACAAAAAUUUACUGAGUAGAAAUUACUUUAAUAUUUAUUUAAUACUAGACAUUUUAUUUGGUUUGAUAUCUGUUACAUUUAUGUUACCUUAGAGUCUGUCUGUGCCUUCUAUACAUUUCUCCUGUUAAUUGUGGUAGCCUCACUUCACCAUUGUGGUGGCAAUGUGGCAGGUUAACCUCCUUACCUAUACUGGCCAAUGUUAAAUGUUCAUAGAUGUUUGUUUCUAUCUUUCAGCUUUGUUAGCAUGAAUUGACCAAGUAAUGAGUUUCAUUCUGACAUUUUCUUGUAUGCAUAUAAUGUACUUUGAUCAUUUUCACUUAUUACCCAUGUUUAUCAUCCCUCUCAUUCCCUUUUUUUUCUUCUACAUCCCUCUUUUUACUUUAUGCUUCCCCUCAAUUCCAAAUAUAAGAGAAAACAUGAUACUUUGUGAGAAAAGCUUAUUUCACAUCAUCUCCAAUUCCAUCUGUUUUUCCACAAAUGACAUAAUUUUGUUGUACUUUAUGCCUAGAUAUGUUGAUUGUGGAUAUAUGCUGCAUUUUCUUUUAUCAUUCAUUUAUUGAUCGGCAUCUAGGUUGUAUAAUUUGGCUAUUGUGAAUAGUGCCUUAAUAAACAUGGUGUUCA